GACGAACGCUGGCGGCGUGCCUAAUACAUGCAAGUAGAACGCACAGUUUAUACCGUAGCUUGCUACACCAUAGACUGUGAGUUGCGAACGGGUGAGUAACGCGUAGGUAACCUGCCUGGUAGCGGGGGAUAACUAUUGGAAACGAUAGCUAAAACCGCAUAAUAUUAAUUAUUGCAUGAUAAUUAAUUGAAAGGUGCAAUUGCACCACUACCAGAUGGACCUGCGUUGUAUUAGCUAGUAGGUGAGGUAACGGCUCACCUAGGCGACGAUACAUAGCCGACCUGAGAGGGUGAUCGGCCACACUGGGACUGAGACACGGCCCAGACUCCUACGGGAGGCAGCAGUAGGGAAUCUUCGGCAAUGGACGAAAGUCUGACCGAGCAACGCCGCGUGAGUGAAGAAGGUUUUCGGAUCGUAAAGCUCUGUUGUAAGAGAAGAACGGGUGUGAGAGUGGAAAGUUCACACUGUGACGGUAUCUUACCAGAAAGGGACGGCUAACUACGUG
rnacentral:rRNA from 1 species